rnacentral:rRNA from 1 species
AGAGUUUGAUCCUGGCUCAGGACGAACGCUGGCGGCGUGCUUAACACAUGCAAGUCGAACGGACAGACAGAGAGCUUGCUCUCUUGAAGUUAGUGGCGAACGGGUGAGUAACGCGUAAUCAACCUGCCCUUCAGAGGGGGAUAACAACGGGAAACCGUUGCUAAUACCGCGUACGAUUCACAGGCGGCAUCGCUUGUGAAUGAAAGGUGGCCUCUAUGUAUAAGCUAUCGCUGAAGGAGGGGAUUGCGUCUGAUUAGCUAGUUGGAGGGGUAACGGCCCACCAAGGCGAUGAUCAGUAGCCGGUCUGAGAGGAUGAACGGCCACAUUGGGACUGAGACACGGCCCAAACUCCUACGGGAGGCAGCAGUGGGGAAUCUUCCGCAAUGGACGAAAGUCUGACGGAGCAACGCCGCGUGAGUGAUGACGGCCUUCGGGUUGUAAAGCUCUGUUAAUCGGGACGAAAGGUCUUCUUGCGAAUAGUUAGAAGAAUUGACGGUACCGGAAUAGAAAGCCACGGCUAACUACGUGCCAGCAGCCGCGGUAAUACGUAGGUGGCAAGCGUUGUCCGGAAUUAUUGGGCGUAAAGCGCGCGCAGGCGGAUCAGUCAGUCUGUCUUAAAAGUUCGGGGCUUAACCCCGUGAUGGGAUGGAAACUGCUGAUCUAGAGUAUCGGAGAGGAAAGUGGAAUUCCUAGUGUAGCGGUGAAAUGCGUAGAUAUUAGGAAGAACACCAGUGGCGAAGGCGACUUUCUGGACGAAAACUGACGCUGAGGCGCGAAAGCCAGGGGAGCGAACGGGAUUAGAUACCCCGGUAGUCCUGGCCGUAAACGAUGGGUACUAGGUGUAGGAGGUAUCGACCCCUUCUGUGCCGGAGUUAACGCAAUAAGUACCCCGCCUGGGGAGUACGACCGCAAGGUUGAAACUCAAAGGAAUUGACGGGGGCCCGCACAAGCGGUGGAGUAUGUGGUUUAAUUCGAC